rfam:Clunio marinus genome assembly, contig: CLTMA_superscaffold_47C
AAAUCAUGGGUUUUGGCGACUACCCUAUUGAGUAUAAUCCAAAAAUUCAUGGAGUGUAUGAUCCAGCACGCUUCUAUGGCAAACGUAAGUAUUUCGUC